UGACGACCAUAUCACGUUGAAACACCAGUUCUCGUAAGAUAGCUGAAGUUAAGCAACGUCGAACCUGGUUAGUACCUACCUAGAUGGGUGAACGCUUGAGAAUAUCAGACGCUGUA